rnacentral:misc_RNA from 1 species
AGUCGCGAGGGGCGGUUCUCUCGACCAAUCGGCUCCUGGAGGCGGAGCCUCGCAGCAUCCAUUGGCUCGAAAGGCUCCAUUCCGCUUCUAGGGGAUCGAAAAAAGUAAAAAGCGAGCGAAAUGUUCACACCUCGGUGGUGGUGCGGCAGUAGUGAUAGUGAGUCGCGAGUGACAGAACGAUACGCCUGACAAGUGAACGGUAGUGUGAAAAACAUCGAUCCGCCGGCGACCGCACCUCCAGCCUGCUCGAGCAGCUCACCUCUGCUCUCAACGCUCUACAAGGUGACCGGAGGAUAGACUAGGAUGGACUGAGGAUGCAGCCUUACACCGUCACUCCUACCACAUCGGAUUGCGCAUACACUGCUUCCGCCACCACUUCCUGGUUGCGCUCGCACACCCAUGUUUCUCAAAUGAAUACCAUUGAUGCUUGUAUCAGUCAGACCAGCAAGCAAGGGGAGCUAUCCGCAGAAAAACCAUCCGGUGAUAACACCUCACACCCGAGACUGGCUUCGGUCACCUCUACUCUUGAGAUGAAAUCUUUGUGGGAGGAGUUCAAUAUGCUUGGCACAGAGAUGAUUGUUACUAAAGCUGGAAGGAGGAUGUUCCCUACCUUCCAAGCCCGACUGUACGGACUGGAGCCUACUGCAGAAUACAUGCUCAUGAUGGAUUUUGUUCCUGUUGAUGAUAAGCGAUAUAGAUACGCGUUCCACAGUUCAACCUGGGUGGUUGCUGGCAAAGCCGACCCCAUCUCCCCACCCAGAGUCCACGUACACCCAGACUCUCCGGCUACUGGUGCCCAGUGGACCAAACAGAUCAUCUCCUUCGACAAACUCAAGCUGACAAAUAACCAGCUAGACGACAAUGGACAUAUAAUUCUCAAUUCUAUGCACAAAUACCAACCGAGAUUUCAUGUGAUAUACGUCCCAGGCAAGGAAGAGCCAGGUAUUCCUCCUAACUGUCAGAACUUUAAAACCUUCAUCUUCCCCGAGACCAGGUUCACAGCCGUCACUGCGUACCAGAACCAGAGGAUAACCCAGCUGAAGAUAGCCAGCAACCCAUUUGCCAAGGGAUUCAGGGACUGUGAUCAGGAGGACUGCGGACCAGAAGCGAUGACACAGCUGCAGGCUCGAUCACAACUGCGGAAGGCGAGUCCUCAGGCUCCACAGGCUGCCAAGGACGGAACGUUGCCGAUAAGUUCCUCCGAUAGCGGAUGUUCCUCUCCAGUAAGGGCCACUUACCCAGUGCCCGGCAGCCCUUCCUAUGCCCAACCUUACCUGGCCGACUACGGGUCGGUGUAUCACCACUUACAAGGGUACGCGGCAGGCUAUGUGCCCGUCCAAAGCCUACCCAAAGUAAACCACGGAGGCACCGUGAUACCUUCCGUAGAAUACAGCCCUCACACGUACCAGACCGGAGGCCUGUAUCAGCACUCCUCUCCACUAUCGUCUAGCAGCAAUCCACAAACAUCAACACUGACCGUUUUCUAUCACGACUACACUCCCAGGUAGCAGCCCUCACACGUACCAGACCGGAGGCCUGUAUCAGCACUCCUCUCCACUAUCGUCUAGCAGCAAUCCACAAACAUCAACACUGACCGUUUUCUAUCACGACUACACUCCCAGGUAGCAGCCCUCACACGUACCAGACCGGAGGCCUGUAUCAGCACUCCUCUCCACUAUCGUCUAGCAGCAAUCCACAAACAUCAACACUGACCGUUUUCUAUCACGACUACACUCCCAGGUAGCAGCCCUCACACGUACCAGACCGGAGGCCUGUAUCAGCACUCCUCUCCACUAUCGUCUAGCAGCAAUCCACAAACAUCAACACUGACCGUUUUCUAUCACGACUACACUCCCAGGUAGCAGCCCUCAGUCCACAUAAGUCCUCACAAUCAACAAACGGAUUCCCAUCUUCUCUUCUUAUCCGUCUCUUAUGAUCAGCCAGUGUACAACACGUUUGCACAAGCAAAGUAUGUGUAAUUGUGCUUCUAACAAACAAUAUGUCCGUAUGUAAAGGAGUUCAUACGGACUGUUCAGAUCCCUAUAGGGGUGUUAUAGGCGUGUUAUAUAUAACACGCUCGGUCUACAACAAUUGAGCUGUCUACAAUCAUGUUUCCAACGAGUACUUCUGUACCUUUAACAAGAAGUCUGGGCAUAACAAACAGGUGUGUAGCUGUGUUCAAUUCUAUCAUAACAACAAUUUAUUUAUUUAUUAUCUACCCGAUAUCAUUUUGAUGUAUGCAGAAUUAUGUAUACCUAGUAUUAUGUACUAUCUCCAAAAAGCAAAACUUCAAAUUUACUGUUGUUUACAAGGAAUAUAAACAAUUAUAUCUCCAUAUACUCAAAGUGGAAUCUGCCUACAAUCUUCACUCAAUCGUAUCUCCAGUCAGCAUGUAUUCAACGAAGAAUCAGCCAAUAAUCUUGUUUGUGACAAGCAACCUUGAGGCACGGAACAUGCUGUUAGCUUCCAAUCUUGCUUCAUCCUUCACUCAUCUGUACCUCCAGUCAGCAUGUAUUCAACGAAGAAUCAGCCAAUAAUCUUGUUUGUGACAAGCAACCUUGAGGCACGGAACAUGCUGUUAGCUUCCAAUCUUGAUUCAUCCUUCACUCAUCUGUACCUCCAAUGAGUUGUAUUUCAUUGUGGAGUCCGCAUUCUAAAAACAUCCUUGGACUGGCAGCGGUUAUUGUUUUGGAAAUUGUAACAACCACGCAUGAACGAAUCUCGAAAUUGUACCAGGUUUUACAGUCUAUAAUUAGUUAAUCUCUCUCCUCAUUUUUUUAGACUGGCAAACAUAUCCUGAAUUGUAAAAGUAUAUAAUGUAUAUUAAUAAUCUUUCCUCCAAAAAAAUGUUACCCCAUUGCUUUUUCCAUUAGUUUUAAAUAUUUUCCAAGAUGUUUAGUUGUUAUAAGUAAUGUUGUAAAUAGUUUAAAAUUAAUAAAAGAGUGAAACCAC